rnacentral:rRNA from 1 species
UACGGAGGGUGCAAGCGUUGUCCGGAAUUACUGGGCGUAAAGGGCGCGUAGGCGGCCCGCUAAGUCGAACGUGAAAUCCCCGAGCUCAACUCGGGAACUGCGUCCGAUACUGGCGGGCUUGAAUCCGGGAGAGGGAUGCGGAAUUCCAGGUGUAGCGGUGAAAUGCGUAGAUAUCUGGAGGAACACCGGUGGCGAAGGCGGCAUCCUGGACCGGCAUUGACGCUGAGGCGCGAAAGCUAGGGGAGCAAACGGG